rnacentral:rRNA from 1 species
AUUGAACGCUGGCGGCAUGCCUUACACAUGCAAGUCGAACGGCAGCACGGGUGCCUGCACCUGGUGGCGAGUGGCGAACGGGUGAGUAAUACAUCGGAACAUGUCCUGUAGUGGGGGAUAGCCCGGCGAAAGCCGGAUUAAUACCGCAUACGAUCUACGGAUGAAAGCGGGGGCCCUUCGGGCCUCGCGCUAUAGGGUUGGCCGAUGGCUGAUUAGCUAGUUGGUGGGGUAAAGGCCUACCAAGGCGACGAUCAGUAGCUGGUCUGAGAGGACGACCAGCCACACUGGGACUGAGACACGGCCCAGACUCCUACGGGAGGCAGCAGUGGGGAAUUUUGGACAAUGGGCGAAAGCCUGAUCCAGCAAUGCCGCGUGUGUGAAGAAGGCCUUCGGGUUGUAAAGCACUUUUGUCCGGAAAGAAAUCCUUGGCCCUAAUACGGUCGGGGGAUGACGGUACCGGAAGAAUAAGCACCGGCUAACUACGUG